UUCCCAUCACAAGCGCCGUGUUCCUGCGGAAGAAAACAGACUCCCGGCAGGAUGACGAGGUGAAGCGUGAUCGAAGUGAUCGGCGGAUGCGCUUCCGUGCCGCUUUUCGCGCGUGACGCAGUCAGAAAUAUGCGGGUAACUGCAAAACAGAGGGGCUGCGGGAAAAGCAC
rnacentral:ncRNA from 2 species